rnacentral:rRNA from 1 species
UACGUAGGGUGCAAGCGUUGUCCGGAAUUAUUGGGCGUAAAGAGCUCGUAGGCGGUUUGUUGCGUCGGCUGUGAAAUCCCGAGGCUCAACCUCGGGUCUGCAGUCGAUACGAGCAAACUAGAGUGUUGCAGGGGAGACUGGAAUUCCUGGUGUAGCGGUGAAAUGCGCAGAUAUCGGGAGGAACACCAGUAGCGAAGGCGGCACCCUGGGCCGGUACUGACGCUGAGGAGCGAAAGCGUGGGGAGCGAACAGG